CAUGCAAGUCGAACGGCAGCACGGGGAGCAAUCCUGGUGGCGAGUGGCGAACGGGUGAGUAAUACAUCGGAACGUGUCCUGUAGUGGGGGAUAGCCCGGCGAAAGCCGGAUUAAUACCGCAUACGAUCUACGGAAGAAAGCGGGGGAUCCUUCGGGACCUCGCGCUAUAGGGGCGGCCGAUGGCAGAUUAGCUAGUUGGUGGGGUAAAGGCCUACCAAGGCGACGAUCUGUAGCUGGUCUGAGAGGACGACCAGCCACACUGGGACUGAGACACGGCCCAGACUCCUACGGGAGGCAGCAGU
rnacentral:rRNA from 1 species